UUUAAUCCAAUUAAAGAGCAAUGGCGAAUCUUUCAGGGGCUAGCAAUCCAACGAAUGCUGAUGAUGAUGCUCAAAAUUCGCGGCCAGAAAAUUCUUUAAAUGUUGACUUGUGCUCUAAUUCCGAUGCUGAUUUGAGUCAUGAUUUUGUUUCCAAAAAAUUGACAGAGUGGACGUUGGAAGAAUACAUCGAGAUCCUUAACCGGGAGAAAAUUAAUAAAUUUGUGUUUUUACACAUUCCCGAUGAAAAACUUGGUGAACUAAUAAAACCAUUUGGAGACUGCUAUCAAUUUACAUUUCAAAGACAACAAUAUUUACAGUCCACGAACUCUAUUGAAAUCGCGCCUCAAGUAUCAUAUACUCUUGGAUCUAAAUUAAAAACAUUACUGAAAAGUACUUUCAAUGGACAACACAUUCUUAAGCAAUCAAAUUUAUUGUCAUGUGAAAACGAACUGGCCACCAUUGUUGUUGAAUAUAUUUUAAGUUUAAAUUAACGACUGCUCAUUAAAAAACAGCAGUAUCAAUUUUGGGCUACUGAAAUAAGUGCUGUUUGGCCAAAAGAAAUCUCAACAACAUGGUAUCAUCAUCGUAGUGGAGAAAACGCUACAUCAGGAAAAUUGUAUCAUCGCUUCUGCAAUCAAUCUAGAAAAGUUUUACAUUUGAAGAUUAUCAAAUUGGCAAAAAAAAAUUAAGACUGCCAAUGAAUUACUGAAAAAUCUUUGUGGUGUUCCAAGUGAUGUCGAGGCUUGGAAAGUAUUUGCGCAUCUGUUUACCCCUGUAUCGAUGGCUACUGGUAUAAAAAAGCCAUGGAAAGCAUCACGUAAUGAACAAGAUGAUGGUUUUAUAACAUGGAUUGAUGUUGUUGAUCAAAUGGAUACCGCAUUAACUGCUCAAAGAAAGACUUGUGAGAACUGGAAAAUAUCUCUACAGCCUUUUAUUGCUGUUGUUGGACCUUUACAAAACAUAACUGCAGCCUACGUUAUCAUCAACAGUGAACGGGUUCAAUUUGAUUCAGUGACAGAGGCAGUUGCAUUUUGUUGGAAAGCAAUAUAUGCUUUAAAUGUAAAAUAUCAAACUUGCUGCACGGUUGUUUGGACGUUUAUUCAAACUGUUAUCUUCGAGCGAACAGAGACAAAAAGUGACAGGUCCCGAUGAAAAAAGAUUUUGUCUAAUCAUAUAUGAUCAUGCAUAAUUUAUGACAGAGUGUUUAGCUUGCCAAGUCUGGUCACACCCAAGUAUUAUAGACGAAUAUUAGAGCGCCACUGGAAGAUGGACUCGGCCUGCCAGAACCGGGUGUUAAUUUAAAUUUCAUUUAGAAACUCAGGGUCGUUUGUAAAUUUUAUACUUUGUG